GUAGGUGGCAAGCGUUGUCCGGAAUUAUUGGGCGUAAAGCGCGCGCAGGCGGUCCUUUAAGUCUGAUGUGAAAGCCCACGGCUCAACCGUGGAGGGUCAUUGGAAACUGGGGGACUUGAGUACAGAAGAGGAAAGCGGAAUUCCAAGUGUAGCGGUGAAAUGCGUAGAGAUUUGGAGGAACACCAGUGGCGAAGGCGGCUUUCUGGUCUGUAACUGACGCUGAGGCGCGAAAGCGUGGCGAGCAAACAGGGAUUAGAUACCCUGGUAGUCCACGCCGUAAACGAUGAGUGCUAAGUGUUAGGGGGGUUUCCGCCCCCUUAGUGCUGCAGCUAACGCAUUAAGCACUCCGCCUGGGGAUACGGCCGCAAGGCUG
rnacentral:rRNA from 1 species